rnacentral:rRNA from 1 species
CCUACGGGAGGCUGCAGUGGGGAAUAUUGGACAAUGGGCGAAAGUCUGAUCCAGCCAUGCCGCGUGUGUGAAGAAGGCCUUCGGGUUGUAAAGCACUUUCAGUGGGGAAGAAAGCCUUGGGGCUAAUACCCUCGAGGAAGGACAUCACCCACAGAAGAAGCACCGGCUAACUCCGUGCCAGCAGCCGCGGUAAUACGGAGGGUGCGAGCGUUAAUCGGAAUUACUGGGCGUAAAGCGCGCGUAGGCGGUCUGAUAAGCCGGUUGUGAAAGCCCCGGGCUCAACCUGGGAACGGCAUCCGGAACUGUCAGGCUAGAGUGCAGGAGAGGAAGGUAGAAUUCCCGGUGUAGCGGUGAAAUGCGUAGAGAUCGGGAGGAAUACCAGUGGCGAAGGCGGCCUUCUGGACUGACACUGACGCUGAGGUGCGAAAGCGUGGGUAGCAAACAGGAUUAGAUACCCUAGUAGUC